rnacentral:rRNA from 1 species
GAUUAACGCUGGCGGCGUGCCUAACACAUGCAAGUCGAGCGGCAGCGAGUUUUACACUGAAUUCUGGAAGCUUCUAGUUGAAAGAGAAGAUUUAUUCAAGAAUUUUGUGUAAAAUGUCGGCGAGCGGCGGACGGCUGAGUAACGCGUGGGAACGUACCCCAAAGUGAGGGAUAACGCAUCGAAAGGUGUGCUAAUACCGCAUAUGGUCUUCGGAUUAAAGCCUUCGGGCGCUUUGGGAACGGCCUGCGUAAGAUUAGAUAGUUGGUGGGGUAAUGGCCUACCAAGUCGACGAGCUUUAACUGGUUUGAGAGGAUGAUCAGUCAGACUGGAACUGAGACACGGUCCAGACUCCUACGGGAGGCAGCAGUGAGGAAUCUUCCACAAUGGGCGAAAGCCUGAUGGAGCAACGCCGCGUGCAGGAUGAAGGCCUUCGGGUUGUAAACUGCUUUUAUAAGUGAGGAUUAUGACAGUAACUUAUGAAUAAGGAUCGGCUAACUACGUG